CAGAGUUUGGAAACUGGCUCAGGAUGAACGCUGGCGGCGUGCCUAACACAUGCAAGUCGAGCGAUCUCUUCGGAGAGAGCGGCGGACGGGUGAGUAACGCGUGGGUAACCUGCCCUGUACACACGGAUAACAUACCGAAAGGUAUACUAAUACGGGAUAACAUAUGAAAGUCGCAUGGCUUUUGUAUCAAAGCUCCGGCGGUACAGGAUGGACCCGCGUCUGAUUAGCUAGUUGGUAAGGUAAUGGCUUACCAAGGCAACGAUCAGUAGCCGACCUGAGAGGGUGAUCGGCCACACUGGAACUGAGACACGGUCCAGACUCCUACGGGAGGCAGCAGUGGGGAAUAUUGCACAAUGGGCGAAAGCCUGAUGCAGCAACGCCGCGUGAGCGAUGAAGGCCUUCGGGUCGUAAAGCUCUGUCCUCAAGGAAGAUAAUGACGGUACUUGAGGAGGAAGCCCCGGCUAACUACGUGCCAGCAGCCGCGGUAAUACGUAGGGGGCUAGCGUUAUCCGGAAUUACUGGGCGUAAAGGGUGCGUAGGUGGUUUUUUAAGUCAGAAGUGAAAGGCUACGGCUCAACCGUAGUAAGCUUUUGAAACUAGAGAACUUGAGUGCAGGAGAGGAGAGUAGAAUUCCUAGUGUAGCGGUGAAAUGCGUAGAUAUUAGGAGGAAUACCAGUAGCGAAGGCGGCUCUCUGGACUGUAACUGACACUGAGGCACGAAAGCGUGGGGAGCAAACAGGAUUAGAUACCCUGGUAGUCCACGCCGUAAACGAUGAGUACUAGGUGUCGGGGGUUACCCCCCUCGGUGCCGCAGCUAACGCAUUAAGACUCCGCCGGAAAGC
rnacentral:rRNA from 1 species